rnacentral:lncRNA from 1 species
ACUUCCGGUCUGAAGAGAAGAAAAUAAAUGCAAUUAUCAAGUUGAAUGAACCCUUUACUGUAUAUAAUAUAUUGUGAAAUAUAAUCACACAUGUUCCUAUAGCCAUAUUCAGUGUGCAUUAGUCAGAUCAUUCAGCUUAGCUCCACAUUUAAGACAGGGCUGUUCUUGCGUGUUUAUUCCAUAUUUAAAAGACAAGUUUUGAAUGUUUGCAUACUAUCAGAAACAGUUGAGAUAGUGAAAAAAUGAGAUGCAUAUGAAAAAAAAAAAAAAAAUCAGUUUCUGUAUCAAUAAGGAUGAAAGAAGAUUGGUUAGGCUAAAGAUUAACAGCGAAAAUAUAGAUAUGCUCCAAAGGCAAAAGAAAUAAUAAAAGAUAAUAUAGUAGAAACUACUGUAAUGUAGUUUUUGUACGAAAGAAGUUAUGUAUGGGCAAUUUGGCAAACUUUGCAUUUUGUUAAUAGUUGAUCUCAAUUACAGGUAGGAGAGAGAAUACGAGUGAUAUUGGACUGUGACGACAACACUUUAGCAUUUGAGAAGAACUAUGAAUUUCUUGGCGUUGCAUUUAGAGGUCUGCCAGAUAAGCAGCUAUAUCCCUCUGUUUCUGCUGUGUAUGGCAACACAGAGGUGUCAAUGGUAUACUUAGGACCCCCGUUGGAUGGCUGACCCGCUGUAUGCUUAGCACAGAUAAUACCAGGCUGCAGAGCGCAACAUGGUUCCUCGCUGAUCUCAAGGGAUUGUCCGCCCACAAGCCCUCGUACAUUAUGACGGGUGUGCGGCAGGUCAUGUAUGGCAGUGGUCGACUGCAGGAAAUGACUCUUCGGCUCUGAAAGAAGCUUUCAGUGAGUGAUGGAGCUCAAAGGGGACAGGUGGCCAUGCAAGAGGACGGCUGUAGUGUGGUGAGCUGUCUUGCCAUCUCCCAAGAAUAGAGCUGUAUUGUACGCAAAAAUAAAGUGAAAAUAAAGAAUAACAAUAAAAAACACAUAGGAAAUAAGAGAAGCAUAUUGUGACUUCCUGAAACAUUUAGUGGCUUUUUUUAUGUUAAAAAAAAAGAUGCAAGCCAUUGACGCCUUACAGUUGUUGAAAAAAGGCAUAGGAUGCAAACCAAAGGGAAGAUGUUAGCAGAUGUGUGAAAACAUCUUCGUUCAGUGCAACAAAGAAUAAAAAAAGAAGAAAAGCAUGCCUAACAGAGUUAAUCUCUGCACUAUGUGCAAUGUGCCUUGAGAAACAUAAUACUGGAGGAACAUUGUCUUUUAGUCUUUUUUAUGAAGAUACAACUGUUUAAAUUAUUGUAUAUGUAUUUGAAAAAAAAUAUAUAGAUAUAUAUGUCUGUUGGCAUAUAUAUAUAUCUGUAAAAGCUGAUUAACUUUGUAAACAUGAACAGAAGUUAAAGAAUAAUGUCAUGCAACAAAAUGCAGUAUUCAGGAGUAGAGGGAGCUUCUCAUGUACUACCAGGUGUGUGUACAGCAUUGGCUUCUUUUUUUAAAAAGGGUUUUGAAAAAAAGUGUAAGUCUGAAUGUACAAGUAAUUAUUUAUUGAGGCAAAUAGUGAUAUUAUCAGCAUGCUUAUAUUUUGCAUUUGUAUAGUUUAAAAUGUUUAUGCAUUGAUCCUUCCUCAUCUGUGGCUGAGUCAUGGAUGACUGGUUCUGUUCCAUCUGUGGAAUGCAUUCCUUAAGCUCCCACCUUUUUUGUGUUCAAUGAAUUGUGCUCAGGUAGCACAUGAUCUAGUCAUUUAGUAGCAGAAGUGAUCACACAUUUCAUAGAUUGAUGGUGAGGGAUUGACAACUUUCUUUUAUGCUUUCAUAUAUGUGCAUUAAUCUUUUAUAUUAUUUUAGAUUUUCUCUCUCUCUCUCUCUCUCUCUCUCUCUCUCUCUCUCUCUCUCUCUCUCUCUCUCUCUCUCUCUCUCUCUCUCUCUCUCUCUCUCUCUCUCUCUCUCCUUCCCCCCCUCCCCUCUCCCUUUAAGUUUUCAAUUGUUUGAUCUCAUAUUUAUCUUGGAGUUUGAUGUGAUUUCUCUUUACUUUUUCCAACUUCGGUACAGACAGUUCUUUGGUGCUUUUCCUUAGACAUUCCAGUUGCCAAGUUCGUCAGUACACUUUCUUGGCUUUUCAUCUUCAACCUGAUCAUUCCACUUUAGUGUGGAGAGAUUACAUUCCUGUUUAUUAUUAUAUUUUUUCAUCAUCUACUCUUUCUUUUUGAUCCUUGCUAAAUAUGUGAUGGGAGGAUUAUAGACCAGAAAAAGUUACUAUUACAAGUCAGGAUGCCAUUGUCAUGUGUAGAGUGUAGCAUCAGAUCUUUCUUUUUAUUUUUUUCACUCUAAUCCCUAUGUAUAAAGAAAAAAAAAAAUAUGAACAGCCUGUGGAACGGCUGGUGUUCAUGUGCAGACAAAAAGGGAAGGGGCAUGUUACCUGAUGGAAGCUUUUCCCUCAUUUGAGCUUUUGCAAUUGUUGUGAUUUUUUAAGACUUCCUGAUUGUUCUGAUGUAUUAUAAUUAUUAUUAUUAUUAUCAUUAUUGAUUAUUUUUAGUAUAGUUGAUGUUGCCAAUAAUUUAAUUUUUUAGCUCUAUAUUUAAUUUUUAUUUGUACAAAUUGUCGUGAUACAGAACCAUAAGAUAUUAUUUGUGUUGAAUGAGCAACAGAUCUUACCAAAAGUAGGUUUAAAUUUUGUGUGUGUGUAUGUGUGUGUGUGUGUGUGUGUUUGUAUGUGUGCAUAUAUGUAUUCAUAUGUGUGUUUGUGGGAAUUUUUUGGUGCAUGUGCUGGAUGUGGACCUGUGACCAUAUACAAGUGCAUUAAUGAAAGUUGGUUAUACCUUUGAAAAGGAUGAACAAGUACAACACACACAACUCAGUGCAAUUACUACUUAUGUAUAAGGCUGUCCGAGCUAUUGCUUGUUUAUUGUGAUUAUUCAAAGCUGAUUGUAUAUCUUUCUAUGGUUGAUAUCUUUACGUGAUAAUUGUCAUUUAUGUUACCAGACUGUUAAGUUCUAGCCAUUAGCCAUACGUCAUAUUUGUGUACAUUCUCACAUGUACACAUUUCUUUUCUCAUACUAAUUGCAUUCUUUCUUGUUACUCUCACUCACACACACCUGUUGUCUCAGUUUUAUACUUGCAUUUACACUACAAAUCAUACUCGCAUGCUCAACUCACAUUUAUGAUUAAGAGUGCAAAUGACCCUUUGCAUUUUUACCUUUAAUUUUGUUCUCUACUUAAACAUGAAGAUACAAAUCAUAGAGGAUACAGUUAGUUUUGAACCUAUACCUAAUGCUUGAAUGAUUCAGGUUUCAUGUGUCAAAGUUGAAUGUAGAACCUAAUUUAUUUGUUAACGAAUGCACUGUUCCCAUUGGUUCAUUAUUGUUGAUAUAAUAAAGCACUGGCAUUGUAUGUUAUCUUUAGAACUUUUAUCAGGCACUUAAAAGUUACUUAUAAGCUGAACACAUAAGGUUUAAUGCUUUUAUAAUGAAAGUCUAAUAAAUAUAUUCUGCAUGCCAUGUCAUUAAAUUCUGAAGGAAAAUCUGCAUGUUUUGUAAUUUCAGUAUGGGGCAACAGAAAUACAAAAUGAGAAUGUUGAAAUAAAGGGAUAUACAAGAUGAGAAAAAUGACAAAAAUCCUCACAAUGAUUGGAUGGUUCACAUUUGUAAUAAAUGUUACUUUACAAUGUAUGUUAGGGGAUGUAGUGUAUGUUGUGUUCUUUUUGUGUCAUUACCUAAAAUAUUAGUCACAAAGAAAAAAAAAAUAGAUCUGCUAUUGGUCAUUACAUGAAGAGAGAGAACUUUUUAGGCUUCUUAAACAUUUCAGAUAACAAUUUUUUUCCUAUGUUGUACUUGAAUGCAGAAUGAAAAACAAACUGGAGAGACUGGACAUUUUUACAUGAAAUGAUAACUAUAAAUCUACAUCACAGUGGUCUCCUUCGUACCAAGUGUUUUAUAUGGUCUUGUAGAGUAGAAAGAUACUGUUUAGUAUUUUGUUAUGUUGGCACUAUUUGCCCAGCAUGUUCACAUAUGUACAUAUAUUUAAGAUUUGUAAAUAUUUGUUUAUCUUUAAUUCUAGCACAGGAAGCAGGGAUGAUGGUGUAUGUAUGAUGAACUUGUGUUAAGUGUGCUCUAUGUACACUUCGAUUAGGGCUGGUAAUGUUUGCAGUACAGUCUCAGAAUCUAUUCAUGAGCUGUUUUUUUUUUUUUUUUUUUUUUUUAAUUCAUCCAAAAAUGUGUUCCUCUCCUCUAUAAGGGAUCUGCACAUUCAUUUUCAUGGCUUUAAAGCAGUUACUGCAUAACCUCAUAUAUCAUCAAUGUACAUCUGUCAUGGUCAUCACACAUGAAUACUGUUAGUUGGUUUUAGUUUUUUAUCAUUGUCGAACUUUUGCAGAGAGUGGGAUUAAAUACUGUAAGGGAAUGCCAUGCUGAAGCUCGUAUGCUCUAGUAGAGCAUGAGCUUUUUGAAGAGACUAGAGAAACAUGGUAAACUCAUUGUGUAGCAUGUUUGCAUAUUCUUCAAUAGUGGGCAAGCUAUUUCUGCUAUGUACUGCUAAGAGUAAAAGGAAUCAAACUUUUUGACAUGGUAGGAAUCCUGUCCAGUAGACAAAAGCAAUAUACAUUCCAUUUCUCCAGAAUUAUUUAUAUAUUCCCCAGCAUUCAUUAAUUCUAACUAUUGCUGGCAAAACUUGUUAAAUAUUUAUUUUAUGUAAGGAAGUGGAUGUAAAAAUGACAGUUUAUGUCUGAAAUUAUUGAUGCUGUUACUGGCUCAUACUGCAAUUCAAUUCCAGCCCUAUUUAUCAUUGAGUGAAUGUUGAAUAGACAUUUUUCACUGAAGUUAAAAGGAACUUACAUAAUCAGUCAUGUAGAAGUCUUGUCAAGUAAAUCAUUUGAACUAUC